AUUUAAGUCACAUAUAAACAAGUUGUGCUAAAUUAAAAACAUUUAGUUCCAUUUACUUCUUCAUUUUAGUAGGUAACUUUGUGAUGCAAACUCGGAUUGGUCUUCCUAUUUGAGUCACUCAAUCCAAACCUUGGUAGGAAAAUCUGGUUCCUCUCUCUUCCCGUAGCUGUGGUGGAUCGUGUUUCCAAAGAUGUCUGCCACAAUAUCGCUCAUCCCAUAUGUUCUUUUGCAAUGUGACUGUGUCACUCCCUCAUCAAGAAGUAGAGUCUAGAUUCACUCCCUUUGAAUCUAGACUGGCCUAUGACCUAUUUUGACCAAUAUAAUAUAAUCUCCAAGGCUGGGCCUUAAGAAGUCUUCAGCUUCUGUCUUCAUGUCUUAGAGUGUUCUUUCUUGGAACCAUCUGCCAAGCUGUGAGGAAGCUCCAGAGCCAUAUGACAAGACCUGAUGGAGGAUAACUGAGGACUUUGGCCAACAACCCCAGCUGAGCUCCAGUUGGAAUGUGAAUGAGGCCAUUUUGAGUGUUCCAGCCUAUUGGAGCCCUAGCCAACACUCUACAAACUAGAACUGCCUGAUUGACCCGCAGAAUCAUAAGAAAUAAAGUAAUUUGAAGGCCUUCCCUGACUUAAAGUGGAUGCUGCUUUGGAAAGCACUGGAAAAAUGGAUCCUGUCUUUCUUAGCCAAGGACUGGUCUCUUUUCUCCAAUGUGUCCCUAACAGAGUGGUGAGGCUGGCUCUUCCCACCAGUACAGGAAGAUCAUUCCUUAAAAGAAAUAGCCAUAUGGCUUAUAAGGGACUAUAUCUUAAGACUAUGUGUCUUCUGCAGUUCUUUGCAUAGAGUCAACGUUGAAGGACAAGCAACUUCAAAUUUCCAAGCAACAAAAUUAUGUUCGGGUGGUUUUCUGAAAGCGAGAUCUUAAGAACCACCUGUAUCAGAAUCCCAUGAAGAGCUUGUUUAGUGUGCAAAUUUACAGAUUGUCCCCCCUCAGAAAUGCUCAUUUAGGAGUUCCUGUCCUUUGCGGGGACAUGGAUGAAGCUGGAAACCAUCAUUCUCAGCAAACUAACACAGGAACAGAAAACCAAACACUGCAUGUUCUCACUCAAAAGUGGGAGUUGAACAAUGAGAACACAUGGACACAGGGAGGGGAACGUCACACACCAGGGCCUGUCGGGGGUGGGAGGUAAGGGGAGGGAGAGGAUUAGGACAAAUACCUAAUGCAUGUGGGGCUUAAAACCUAGAUGAUGGGUUGAUAGGUGCAGCAAACCACCAUGGACAUGUAUACCUAUGUAACAAACUUGCAUGUUCAGUACAUGUAUCCCAGAACUUAAAGUAAAAUAUAAAACAAUAAUAAAAAGGAAAUGCUCAUUCAGGAGUUUUGGGGUGGGGGUUCAGGAGGCUGCAGCCUUAACAAUUACCUCUGGUGAUUUUGACACAGGUAGCACAGCAGCCAAACUUGGAGAGAUUUGUUCACAGCACUGCAUCACCAACCUUACUUUCUGUUAGGCCUUUAAUCACUUUUUUUUUUUUUUUUUUUUUUUUUUUCUGAGACAGGGUCUUGCUCUAUCACCCAGGCUGGAGUACAGUGGCACGAUCUUGGCUCACUGCAAUCUCUGUAUCCUGGGUUCAAGCAAUCCUCUCUGCCUUGGCCUCCUGAGUAGCUGGGACCACAGACAUGCUCCAUUAUGCCCAACUAAUUAAAAACAUUUUUUUUAGAGGCAGGCUGGUCUCGAACUCCUGAGCUCAAGCAAUCUGCCUGCCUCGGCCUCCCAAAGUGCUGGGAUUACAGGUGUGAGCCACUGCGCCCGGCCUUUUAAUCACUUUUAAACCAGCAACCCUAAUCUGCCUGUCCCUUGAAUGGAUCCGGAUAAAGGUGUGGCAAACAAGCCUCCUGUCACAGUGGGGUGUGACAGUCACGGCAUCACCCCUUCACCACAUCAUGUGCUGCCAGUCAUCACUUCUGCUGUUGCCACCAACCCUUGCGUUUCCCUUUGUCACUUCCCCCUUGCCACCACCAACGGCCACUGUCCCUCUGCUCCUCACCCUCCAUAGCUGAGUCAGAUCCAGCAUUGGGCACUUGAGGAAGAAGCCACUGUGGAAGGCGGGAUGAGGGUGUUCCCAUUCUACAUUCACAAGCCCACAGCUUGGAGAAGAAGCACACCUAAUUCUGACCCUGGCUUCUGAAGAAGCUCUGCAAACCUGGCUAGAAAGUUGGGCCUGUGGUUUGAGGUUCCUGCUGCCUUUGAUUUUACAAUGAGUGGAAAUUGAGGUUGAGUAACAGGUCUCUUGCCCAAGUAUUAAGGGCCACCACGAAGCAUACAGCAAUGAAGGCAGGAGCUGAUGACAUGUGGUUGGUUCCCCCCUCUAGGCCAAGUAUCUUUGUAUAGGGAAGGCCGACAUGGCCAUCUUCACGGUUUGGUAUUAGUGGAGUGUCUUAUACAUACUGAAAUUUGUUUUUGUUUUCAGGUGCUAAAAGGAUAAUACCAAGGAAAACUAUGGGUGGGGGCAGUGAAUGGCCAGCAUGCCUAUAAUCCCAGCACUUGAAGCCAGGAGUUCGAGACCAGCCUGGGAAACAAAGCAAGACCCUGUGUCUAAAAAAAUUUUUUUAAAAAUAAGCUGGGCAUGGUGGCACGUGCCUAUAGUCCCAGCUACUCAGCUACUCGGGAGACCAAGACAUGGAAUAAACUUGACAAGUGCUAAAGAUGCUCUUUGAUUUUUGUGUGGCAUGAGACCUCAGGCUGAAACUUCUCAUCUGAGCCAUUGAAGGGAGCCUCUCAUCUCUCCACCGAGAGGGGAGACCAGAAUGCUCUGUUUCUGGCAGGAAUCUGACACCACUUACUCCUUGGGUAGAAACUCCCCCAAGUCUGAACUAUGUGAUUGCCUGAGCCCUGCUUCUUGUUCAUUAAGACUGCUCCUCUGAAACGGAAUUGAUGAAUUUUUAGUGGCUAUUAGAAGCAUUUGGGAUCCAUAGGCAUCAGGGUUUGAUGCAUGGCCCUCAUCUCUGUGGGCUCCUGUGCAAUGAUUCUCAUCUGUCUUAGUUAGAAAGUGAAUUAAUCUUGACCUUGGCCUCAGGGGUGUGGUUCUCUGCCCUCUUACACAUCUUCAAUUCGCUUCUUUAUCAGAAGCACUUGUUUUAGGCCCAGGCUCCCCCAAUUUUAAUGACAUUUAGACAUUUGUCUUUAAGUUACAUUGCUUUGAUUUUAAUCAAAAUCUAUAUUUCUAGUAUUAUAUGUUUCCAGAAAGUUCUCAUUCUGGAUUGUAAUUUAAUUACAUGGAUCAUUAAAGCUUUGAAGGAUGCUAAUGGGCAGAAAAAAGAGACUUAACAAAACGAAAGUUAUUAUUAGGAAUUACAAAUCACUUAACAUUUCAACAUCACUCGUCGGAUGUGGGCAUUUUGUUGAAAGAGACCUUGUUUUGAACAGUGACAGUGCAGAAGACCUAUGGAAGAAACAAGCUUCCAACUUGAUUUCUAUUGUUAUGCAUGCAUAGCAAAUUAUUAAUUCUAUUCUAAUAGGGUAAUAGAUUUAGAAAUACUAUUAGCAGAAAACUUGAUGUAUUAGGCAAUACUACAUACCACAUUAGUCUAACCGCUCAACUGUAAUUUUUCAUCCAUACUUUCUUGGGAUGUAAAUAAAAUUGAUAUUAUACAAUGAAAAUAAAAUUGCCCACUAGUCUUGCUUAUUCUCUUGG
rnacentral:lncRNA from 10 species